UCCUCUGGUAUUGUCACGGGUGAGAAUGGCGCUCAUCACUUUACUGUUCUGUACACUUCUAUUAGAAGGAGUUUUUGGAAACACAAUUACUCCACUAUCCGGUGUGGAAAAUGUUAAACAAGGAGAUAAUGUGACCCUCAAGUGCAGCUACACGGGUGCUGUAAACAAUUUGCAAUGGUAUCGCCAGUAUACCGGACAGGCUUUGGAAUACCUGCUGAUGAGCUUUGAAACGGGGGCUGUAUCUAAAGCUAACGAGAAAGAUCACCGAGUCUCAGCAGAGCUUGAUAAAGACAAAAAACACAUGUUUCUGAAACUGAUAGACACUGAAGUGACAGACUCAGCCGUGUACUACUGCGCCCUGAGUCCCACUGUGAAGGAAACCUGUCCAGCACUGUACAAAAACUACCUGCCACUGAAACACAAGCAGCUGCUCACAAAUUGAUAUACUUUACCAGGAGGUGGUGCUGUUUUGCCAUGAAACAAACUUAUUCAUAAAGUCAAGGUUGUGUGUUUUGAAUCUCCCAUGCCUUCCAUCUUCUGCAAUAGAAACCAAAACACCUGGUCACACGGAUCACUUGUUGACGGCAACAAGAGGAACACAUUUACUGCCUGCGUGUUGCCUUGCAGUUUGCAGUAGACA